UUACCGAGUUAGGGUUCUCUCCCGAGGCCCGACCUCCCAACCCUGUGUCUACCACCUCUGUCCCGUGUUGCUUCGGCGGACCGGCAGUCCCCUCACGGGGGUCCGUCGCCGGGGGGUCACCCCUGGAGAGCGUCCGCCGAUGGCCCCAACCAAAACAACGCCCAAACCCAAAUUAACGUACCUAAAACUUCUGAAUCAAACCUUUUUGAUGUACCAAUCAAAAACAAAACUUUCAACAACGGAUCUCUUGGUUCUGGCAUCGAUGAAGAACGCAGCGAAAUGCGAUAAGUAAUGCGAAUUGCAGAAUUUCCGUGAGUCAUCGAAUCUUUGAACGCACAUUGCGCCCUUUGGCAUUCCGAAGGGCAUGCCUGUUCGAGCGUCAUUAUCCUCUCUCAAACCUCGGGUUUGGUGUUGGACCGCGUUGGACCCGCCCACGGCCAACUGGUCUCAAAGACAAUGACGGCGUCCCAGGGACCCUCUUCGCACUGAGCUUUCCCGAAGCACGCGUCGAGUUUUCCGGACCCAGGGACCCGGUCACCCCUAAAACUUCUUAAGGUUGACC
rnacentral:rRNA from 1 species